ensembl:lincRNA
UGGUAACCAGCAGACAGACCUGAGAGAAGCAAGGCUGCAGAGAAACUGUAGCCAUCACCAAACAGCAAAUCAAAGGGAAGUGUCUCAGGAGAGAUUUCUAAUUAUCACACAUUUGUCCUUGCAGCCAAACCAGGAUGCAAUGGAAAUGGUGCCUUUGGCACUAGCAUCUUAGGUCACAAAAUCAGCCUCCCAAAUGUCCACAUAGAUAAUAUCAACCCUCAAUGCAAAUUACAAGAAUGUUAUUUUAAAAUGUAAUAAAAAGUGACCAAGCUGACCUAAACCCCACCACACCAUGAAUAGCUUCC